rnacentral:tmRNA from 1 species
GGGGGCGUUACGGAUUCGACAGGCAUUGUCGCGCAUGAACUGCAACUGCUGAGGGAUCAGGAUAAUCAUCCGCAGAUAAAUAUAACUGCUAAAAAUAAUACACAAACUUACGCAAUGGCUGCCUAAAAAACACCAUGCGUGCCGAAAUUUCAUUCACUGAUGGUGAUACUUUCGGCCUAAACCUUUAGUCAGAUACGUUGCUGUGGUAGCUUGACGCAGCAAAAGAGAUUUCAAGCUCCGCAAAAUAUCGCUGUUUGAGACUGGCUUUGGUAUUUUGUUAAAUUUGAGAAAGUCCUAUAGUUGUAGACGUUGAUGUAGCAAGGUGUUUGGACAGGGGUUCGACUCCCCUCGCCUCCAUAA